UACGUAGGGUGCAAGCGUUGUCCGGAAUUAUUGGGCGUAAAGAGCUCGUAGGCGGCUUGUCGCGUCUGCUGUGAAAACUCGGGGCUUAACUCCGGGCCUGCAGUGGGUACGGGCAGACUAGAGUGCGGUAGGGGAGACUGGAAUUCCUGGUGUAGCGGUGAAAUGCGCAGAUAUCAGGAGGAACACCGGUGGCGAAGGCGGGGUCUCUGGGCCGUAACUGACGCUGAGGAGCGAAAGCGUGGGGGAGCGAACAGG
rnacentral:rRNA from 1 species